GGCGCGCGGCCGAUAUCCGGAGCCGUUGGGAAGGAAGGUUGAGCGUUCAGGCGGGUGCGGCCGAUCUGUGGGGCGGCGUUACAAAACAGCUAAUGGUGGUGGCCAAGCGGUCUUACUGCUUUCUUCGAAAAACUUCCCAGACUCGCGGACAGAAGUGUAGAACCUUGGCGCUUUCACAAGUGCUUGUCAGGAAAUGAAUGAGAACUGGGGCCUCUCGAGCCACAAGGACCCAACCAACUACUAUGUUUUUCUCCCCUCAGGGAGCUCCCGUCAGAGCCAGUCUCCUAAAGGCUGUCUUCGAGGAACUUUGUCGACCCUUAGUCAGAAUCGCUUGUUCUCUGCUCCCAAGAUGGCGCCACAGGACGGAGGAGUUGGGGGAAUCCAGCAGUUACCCGCAAACGUGUGAAGACCGUGCUCGCCGUACCGAUGCAGCUUCCACCAACUGUCCUGAACCCCAAUUCCAGUCGCCCUCAAGCCAGUAGAAAUUCUGGAGCAGCACUUAGGUCCUCGGGGCCACUGCAGGUCGCUAACUGAGCCCUUAUUUCGUUCCCUUUCCUGGUUUAUGAGUUUGACCCCAGUGCUUGGCUCUAAGGUCAUGAACCUGUCAAGAUUUUCCAGUCCAGAGCCACACUGUGUUCUCUGGGGGUAGUUAUCCAGCUGUUCAUGGAGCACUAAUGCACCGGAAAACCCAUGGCCGCAAAGUUUUUGACCCUAGGGAGAUGGAGGACAGUUUGAGAGCCGAAAAGGAUAAUGUUGAAUUGAUUACUCCUUUCCAGAGGCAGCAGCACCCAUGGAAGCAAGAAUUCCUUGUGUGCCUGCAAGUUAACGGAAAGUAAGCCAGAAGUGUUGAGUUGGCACCUAGAGUCAAAAUACCAACAGUUUUUUUUUACAUCCCACCUCUUUACAAAGGACAGUUCCUUUGAAGGCGUUUGUGUUUGGGGAGCAGAAGUUCUGAGUUUUGAGGAAGUCCAUUUAUCAGGUAUCAUGCCCAAGAAAUCUUUGCCUAACCCAAGGUCAGUUACCAUUAGUGGGAGAGUUGUCUGUUGUCCUAGUCCUCCGUUACCAAAAUUAUUUGGCUUCUUAUGUCACACUCCCAAAUGAAGAUGUUGGCAAAUGCUGAGUAAUUCCACACCUGAGGGGAAGUUAACCAACACAGAGUGUCUCUUCAGGAACAAGUUUUGAGGACACAAAUAGUCUUAAAGAGCUCACACCUGUUAUAGGUGUUCUUCAACUGGGGUGGACACCACCUUCACUGAGAGAUCACAGCUGACAUCACUAACAACAGCACCCACUGACAUCAUGUGUCAUCCAGCGAUGUGGUGGUGGAAAACAGCUCUGCUUUCCAUAGUAUUCCUGCCAAAAAUACAUGACCUGAAUCGAAUCAUGACAAACCUCCCUUGCCUUCUGCAUAAAGUCCACACUUCAUAAUAGGUCA